CCUACGGGAGGCAGCAGUGAGGAAUAUUGGUCAAUGGGCUUACGCCUGAACCAGCCAAGUCGCGUGAGGGAAGACUGCCCUAUGGGUUGUAAACCUCUUUUGUCAGGGAGCAAUUGGCGCUACGUGUAGCGUUAUCGAGAGUACCUGAAGAAAAAGCAUCGGCUAACUCCGUGCCAGCAGCCGCGGUAAUACGGAGGAUGCGAGCGUUAUCCGGAUUUAUUGGGUUUAAAGGGUGCGUAGGCGGAAUGCCAAGUCAGCGGUAAAAUCGCGGGGCUCAACCUCGCUCCACCGUGGAAACUGGCGUGCUUGAGUGGGCGAGAGGUAUGCGGAAUGCGUGGUGUAGCGGUGAAAUGCAUAGAUAUCACGAAGAACACCGAUUGCGAAGGCAGCAUACCGGCGCCCAACUGACGCUGAAGCACGAAAGCGUGGGUAUCGAACAGGAUUAGAUACCCCAGUAGUC
rnacentral:rRNA from 1 species